rnacentral:rRNA from 1 species
CGUACUUUACACARUCAUCAGUGCUCUGUGAYACGUUCUUUACGAKUYGAGUUGUUUGNGAAYGCAGCUCWAAAUGGGUGGUAAAUUCCAUCUAAAGCUAAAUAUUGGCGAGAGACCGAUAGCGAACAAGUACCGUGAGGGAAAGAUGAAAAGCACUUUGGAAAGAGAGUUAAACAGUACGUGAAAUUGUUAAAAGGGAAACGAUUGAAGUCAGUCGUGUUUAUUGGAUUCAGCCGGUCUUCGGUGUACUUCCUUUAAACGGGUCAACAUCAGUUUUGUCCGGUGGAUAAAGGCAGUAGGAAUGUGGCUCCCUCGGGAGUGUUAUAGCCUAUUGUCACAUACAUCUGGAGGAGACUGAGGACUGCAGCUCGCCUUUUUGGCCGGGGUUCGCCCACGUCGA